GAUAUACUCCCUCCGUCCGGAAAAAUUUGUCCCUCAAAUGGAUGUAUCUAGCAUCAAGUUAGUGUUAGAUACAUCCAUUUGAGGGACAAGCUUUUCCAGACGGAGGGAGUAGUAC
rnacentral:pre_miRNA from 1 species